ACGAACGCUGGCGGCGUGCUUAACACAUGCAAGUCGAACGGAAAGGCCCUGCUUUUGUGGGGUGCUCGAGUGGCGAACGGGUGAGUAACACGUGAGUAACCUGCCCUUGACUUUGGGAUAACUUCAGGAAACUGGGGCUAAUACCGGAUAGGAGCUCCUGCUGCAUGGUGGGGGUUGGAAAGUUUCGGCGGUUGGGGAUGGACUCGCGGCUUAUCAGCUUGUUGGUGGGGUAGUGGCUUACCAAGGCUUUGACGGGUAGCCGGCCUGAGAGGGUGACCGGCCACAUUGGGACUGAGAUACGGCCCAGACUCCUACGGGAGGCAGCAGUGGGGAAUAUUGCACAAUGGGCGGAAGCCUGAUGAAGCAACGCCGCGUGCGGGAUGACGGCCUUCGGGUUGUAAACCGCUUUCGCCUGUGACGAAGCGUGAGUGACGGUAAUGGGUAAAGAAGCACCGGCUAACUACGUG
rnacentral:rRNA from 1 species